rnacentral:tRNA from 1 species
GGACCCGUGGCGCAGCGGUAGCGCGUGUGAUUCCAGUCCACAAGGUCAUCCGUUCAAUCCGGGUCGGGUUCA